rnacentral:snRNA from 1 species
GUGCUCCUUUGGCAGCACAUAUACUAAAAUUGGAACAAUACAGAGAAGAUUAGGAUUGGCCCCUGCACAAGAUGACACACAAAUUUGUGAAGCAUUCCAUAUUAAC